rnacentral:rRNA from 1 species
UGGGGAAUUUUGGACAAUGGGCGCAAGCCUGAUCCAGCCAUGCCGCGUGCGGGAAGAAGGCCUUCGGGUUGUAAACCGCUUUUGUCAGGGAAGAAACGCUUCGAGCUAAUACCUUGGAGUAAUGACGGUACCUGAAGAAUAAGCACCGGCUAACUACGUGCCAGCAGCCGCGGUAAUACGUAGGGUGCAAGCGUUAAUCGGAAUUACUGGGCGUAAAGCGUGCGCAGGCGGCUUUGCAAGACAGAUGUGAAAUCCCCGGGCUCAACCUGGGAACUGCAUUUGUGACUGCAAGGCUAGAGUACGGUAGAGGGGGAUGGAAUUCCGCGUGUAGCAGUGAAAUGCGUAGAUAUGCGGAGGAGCACCGAUGGCGAAGGCAAUCCCCUGGACCUGUACUGACGCUCAUGCACGAAAGCGUGGGGAGCAAACAGGAUUAGAUACCCUGGUAGUCCACGCCCUAAACGAUGUCAACUGGUUGUUGGACGGCUUGCUGUUCAGUAACGAAGCUAACGCGUGAAGUUGACCGCCUGGGGAGUACGGCCGCAAGGUUG